UGGAGAUGGACGUGUCUAUAGAAAGCAGCUUUCAUGGGGAGAACACCUGUCAAGUACUGCCUUCCGUCAUACUGUCGUCACUCUGCUUCAUCCCCUCCUUCCCGCGAGAUGCUCACAUACCACAAUGAUGAAUGCAUAAAGAGGGGAGGACUGACUCCAAAAGCUGGCCCAUUUUCCCUGUGCUGUUACAUCAAGGGUGCCCUCCAUUGCCUCUACUAUUAGAUAUAGCCAUGGAACCACAAGCAGCAUAAAUCAGACA